rnacentral:rRNA from 1 species
UACGUAGGGGCGUAGCGUUGUCCGGAUUUAUUGGGCGUAAAGAGCUCGUAGGUGGUUCGGUAAGUCGGAUGUGAAAUCUCCAGGCUCAACCUGGAGGGGUCAUUCGAUACUGCCGUGACUAGAGUUCGGUAGAGGAGUGUGGAAUUCCUGGUGGAGCGGUGAAAUGCGCAGAGAUCAGGAGGAACACCGGUGGCGAAGGCGGAUCUCUGGGCCUUACCUGACGCUCAGGCGCGAAAGCUAGGGGAGCGAACUGG